UGGGAAAUUAGUUUUGGGCACUUUAAGUGAUCGUUCGGAGUAAUUUCACCCAAGGGUCCUUUGCACCAUGACCUCAAGCCAAACA